AGAACAUAAAAUUGACAUAAAUAUUAAUUUGGUAAGUUAUUUAAUAUUAACUUGUUAAUUAAAUUUAUUUCGGUUUUUGAGACAUCGGUUUAGUCAAGUAUUUGUUCGCUGUUUGCAGAAAAUACAAGCAAAUGUAAUAAACGUGCUCUGAAUCCGUCAAUUUUUCCUCAUCUCUGAGAGGACACACGACUCAACCCCUAUACGCUUGUCUGUCUAAUCCGUAAUAAAGUUAUUUGAGUUGAAUUCGAUAAAUUCGAGGAAGUUGAAGUUGUUUCCCGCACGCUUUUUCCUGCCCGAACGAUAUUCCCCGCAAUAAUAUCAUCUUCCAAGCCUCUCUCAACAGACACGCCGAGAAUGAGAAGAAGAAGAGGAUUUCUACAAAAAAGUUUCGCAUUACAAACAGAACGAAACAUGCCAAUAUAAAAGAAAUUUAUAUUGAGAAAGUCCAAAUGUCGGCGCGGAAAACGUUGAUGUUGAGACGACAACAAACACAGUACGAGUAAACUCUCCAAAAGAAGAGAAAAAGUAAAUAAUUUACAAGAAUCUAUCUAUACGUUUACCUGGCGCUUGAACUUUGAAGCAUCCAGAGGAGAGAGAAUUAAGAUUAUCAAGGAUAUCAACAUCCUACACAAUAUUUGAUCGCAAUGAGUCUUGUUUUUUUUUUCAUCGAGUGUUGGAGAAGCGAAUGCGCCGAAAAAUAAAUUAAAAGUUAAUGUGGUAAAAUGUUGAGCGUGUCGACUCGUCACGAAGAGACUUCGAGAAGGGCAGAGCCAAUAAACACGCGUCGGAAAGUCGAACACGAUCGCGGAAAGUUGCCAACUUUCAAGGUCGAUGAUUUAACAAACGUCGGAGAAUUCCAAUGACGCUUCAACGAAAUUGCUUUUCGUAACUUUCGCACUUUGCUAGAUCUUGAUAUUAAUCAUCAAUCGAUCGAUCUAGAAACAAGCAGCCCGACAAUUAAAAACUUGUUUUACAAUUCUAUCAAACCAAAAUCUAAAACUAACAUAACCUCACGUUUUGUAUUCCUAUAACCAUUUAUAGUUCAGCUUCACGUUCGUUUUCAGUUUGAGUUUGAGUUUGAGAAACCAGUCUUCGAGUGGACAAUAGAGAGCGAGCACACAAUGAUCAGUUUCCAAGGAAGCAGCAAGCGCUCGUAUACCGAGAGAGGUAGAGACCCGCAACGACAACAUCACCACAAAAACACAACACAACACAAAAAGUGAGAAAAACAAACCCAGAAUGCCGGCAGCUAGCCAUAGACGAACAAAAUGGUUACCUGUGGGCAAGAAAGAUGCAAGCUGCAUUAUAUUAUUAGAGGUUAGAGCAAAGAGAACCUGAGACCUGACCCUAGGAUACCUAUUCCUAUACCUACAAGAUAAAACCGAGAGCUUUUGCUUUGCUUUGCUGACCAUGCAUACAAGAACAGAUUUGACUGCACUGCAUGAAAACACCAUCGUGAUGAUGAUGAUGAUGAUGACCAACAUGGUGCUAUACUAGUGCACCUAUAUAAUAUACAACAAUAUACAAUAAAAGAUUGUUAUCAAUAUCAACAUCAACACUACAUACGACUAACAACUAAACUGAUCCGAAUAUUAAACAAUCCGUUGUUAAUUGUUAUUUGUGGCUUAAUAUUAAUGCUACACCGUUAGUUAUGUGAAUUUUUGAUCAAACAUACCACUCCACUGUGACGUGAACAUGUACCGCGCAUCGCAACCGUAAAUAAUUACCUUAAUUAACUCUAUACAGCCGAAACGACCCGACCUGUAAUCGUGCUAUCCGAAAAUAAUCAACACAACUCACAGCUCACGGAAUACGAUAUUAUACUGCGUUAUAUCAGUAAGAGAUAUGGAUUUAUAUCAAAACGUAAAAUAUAUUUACACUGCGUACCCUCUUUGCA